rnacentral:rRNA from 1 species
GUCCACACUGUAAACGAUGAUUACUAGGUGUUGGAGGAUUGACCCCUUCAGUGCCGCAGUUAACACAAUAAGUAAUCCACCUGGGGAGUACGACCGCAAGGUUGAAACUCAAAGGAAUUGACGGGGGCCCGCACAAGCAGUGGAGUAUGUGGUUUAAUUCGACGCAACGCGAAGAACCUUACCAAGUCUUGACAUCCCUUGACGAUGCUGGAAAACAGCAUUUCUCUUCGGAGCAAAGGAGACAGGUGGUGCAUGGUUGUCGG